ACGCUCGACACCUACGGGGGGCAGCAGUGAGGAAUAUUGGUCAAUGGGCGCUAGCCUGAACCAGCCAAGUAGCGUGAAGGAUGAAGGCUCUAUGGGUCGUAAACUUCUUUUAUAUAAGAAUAAAGUGCAGUAUGUAUACUGUUUUGUAUGUAUUAUAUGAAUAAGGAUCGGCUAACUCCGUGCCAGCAGCCGUGGUAAUCUGAGCGGGCUGGCAAGGC
rnacentral:rRNA from 1 species